CAGAGCAAACAGAAGGAGAAGAGAUUUUCACAGGACUCACAGUCUACUUUUUGUAAUUCAGAUUCCCAUGUGACAUCGGAAUUUUAAAAGGCAAGAAAAGAUAUUUCUAUACUAGUUUCACAUUUUCCAAUUUUUCUUCUGCCAAGUCUUAAUGUCCCCGAGUAUUUCUUAAGGUACAAAUCUCCUGCAUAUGAUGAAAAGAGCUUCGAUAGUUGGAAAACUAGACCAUCAUUUGUGUUCGUAUGAGUAGAAUUUUCCCGGGAACAAUACAUGCCACCCUAAUAAGAUGCUACGUGGGGAAUCUCUUUGAAAAACAUAAAGUCCUCUACUGCAAAUAUAAGGUGGCAUUAUUAUUUUGUCCUACAAUUAUCCUGUCAAGAGUCCAACUCAAAAGGAAACCUAGAUUUGAGGGUUGUGCGAAGAUGAAAAUAUGAAUCUUUGGAAGACACACAGAUUGAUUUCUAUCGGCAAAUGAAAAGUCUACAUGUGAAGAAAUAAUCAGGCGUACGAUAUGGGAGUAGAGGUGAUGGAUUGCUGCUGAAAUAUUCAGAUUAUUAUGAAGAAUGAAAUGCACCCCAGAACCUGCUUCAGACUUUUCAAGGACGUCCCUGCUCCUAUGGCUGUAGGCCUACACACCCUGAAUGCAGAGAAAGGAAAUACCUGACUUCCAAGAGACCUGGAACAAUUCUCCCAGAAAGAGGAAGCUUCUUGAAAUCUCACCUUUAAUUUAAAAAUUCAAGCAACUUCAAUGAAACACCGGGACACCUGCACCCUGAUAUUUAUAGCAGCAAUGUCCACAAUAGCCAAACUGUGGAAGGAGCCCCAGUGUCCAUCGAAAGAUGA